rnacentral:lncRNA from 1 species
UCCUCACAUAACUCUCACCAUAGAGAGAGGUUCAUCCUCUUCCUCCCAUAACUCUCACCAUAGAGAGGUUCUUCCUCUUCCUCCAUAACUCUCACCAUAGAGAGAGGUUCAUCCUCUUCCUCCAUAACUCUCACCAUAGAGAGAGGUUCUUCCUCUUCCUCCAUAACUCUCACCAUAGAGAGAGGUUCUUCCUCUUCCUCCAUAACUCUCACCAUAGAGAGAGGUUCUUCCUCUUCCUCCAUAACUCUCACCAUAGAGAGAGGUUCAUCCUCUUCCUCCAUAACUCUCACCAUAGAGAGGUUCAUCCUCUUCCUCCAUAACUCUCACCAUAGAGAGAGGCUCAUCCUCUUCCUCCCAUAACUCUCACCAUAGAGAGAGGUUCAUCCUCUUCCUCCCAUAACUCUCACCAUAGAGAGGUUCAUCCUCUUCCUCACAUAACUCUCACCAUAGAGAGGUUCUUCCUCUUCCUCCAUAACUCUCACCAUAGAGAGGUUCAUCCUCUUCCUCCCAUAACUCUCACCAUAAAGAGGUUCAUCCUCUUCCUCCCAUAACUCUC